AACAAAAUCCCACGUGACUGGCUCUGCUCUGAGGCCAUCAUGGCGUCUCCCAGUGGGAAAGGAUCCCGGGCGCCGGAGGCCCCUGGCUGCGGGCCCCAGCCCGUCGCCCGGGACCUGGUAGACUCCGUGGACGACGCGGAGGGGCUGUACGUGGCAGUCGAGCGGUGCCCACUGUGCAACACCACCCGCCGGCGGCUGACCUGUGCCAAGUGCGUCCAGAGCGGCGAUUUCGUCUACUUCGACGGCCGCGACCGUGAAAGGUUUAUAGACAAGAAGGAAAGGUUAAGCCAGCUUAAGAGCAAGCAAGAAGAAUUUCAAAAAGAAGUGUUAAAAGCUAUGGAAGGAAAAUGGAUAACAGAUCAGUUGAGAUGGAAAAUAAUGUCCUGCAAGAUGAGGAUUGAACAGCUGAAACAAACUAUAUGUAAAGGAAAUGAGGAAAUGAAGAAAAAUUCUGAAGGCCUCCUCAAAACCAAGGAAAAGAAUCAGAAACUUUACACUCGAGCACAACGGCAUCAGGAGAAAAAGGAGAAGAUUCAGAGGCACAAUCGCAAACUUGGUGACCUGGUAGAAAAAAAAAACACUGAUUUAAGAAGUCAUUAUGAGCGUCUGGCAAAUCUUCGGCGGUCUCACAUAUUAGAGCUCACCUCUGUCAUUUUUCCAAUCGAGGAAGUAAAGACAGGUGUGAGAGAUCCCACAGACGUGUCUUCAGAGAGUGACAGCGCCAUGACCUCCAGCACCGUGAGCAAGCUUGCCGAAGCCCGGAGAACAACUUACCUCUCGGGGAGAUGGGUCUGUGACGAUCACAACGGGGACACCAGCGUUAGCAUUACAGGGCCUUGGAUUAGCCUUCCCAACAACGGGGACUACUCUGCCUACUACAGUUGGGUGGAAGAGAAGAAAACCACGCAGGGGCCUGAUAUGGAGCAUAAUAACCCUGCUUACACGAUUAGCGCUGCGUUGUGCUAUGCGACUCAGCUGGUCAACAUUUUGUCUCAUAUACUCGACGUAAAUCUUCCCAAAAAGCUGUGCAACAGUGAAUUUUGUGGAGAAAACCUCAGCAAACAGAAAUUUACUCGAGCAGUGAAGAAACUAAAUACAAAUAUUCUUUACCUGUGCUUUUCUCAGCAUGUAAAUUUAGAUCAAUUACAACCACUGCAUACUCUCAGGAAUCUAAUGUACUUGGUCAGUCCGAAUGCUGAACACCUAGGCAGGUCAGGACCUUUUGAAGUACGAGCAGAUCUGGAGGAGUCCAUGGAGUUUGUGGAUCCCGGAGUUGCUGGAGAAUCAGAUGAGAGUGGAGACGAGCACGUAAGUGACGAGGAAACCGACCUGGGCACCGACUGGGAGAACCUGCCCAGCCCCCGGUUCUGUGACAUUCCUUCCCAGCCCGUGGAAGUGUCUGAGAGCCAGAGCACCCAGGCGUCCCCGCCCAUCGCGAGCAGCAGUGCUGGUGGUAUGAUCUCCUCGGCCGCGGCCUCCGUCACCUCCUGGUUUAAAGCUUACACUGGACACCGCUAACGAGCAGGGACCGAGCCGCACCAGAUCGGCCUGCGGAAAGCUCUUCCUCCGCGCCCUGGAAAUGGUCAAAGACCUGAAGAUAACUGAACACAGAUCCAAGCUGAACAAAAAGCCAAAGGAAAAGCAUUACAAUACCAUCAACUACUUAAGGGCAAUUCCCUGUCUGAUAUUUUAUAAAUACCCCAUUGGAUCAAGCACGGAACCCUUUACACACAGGAAGAGCUCCAUGAAAAGAACUACUGACACCCAACUGGGCCUUUCCCUGCCCAGGUCUCAUCCAGGGCCCCACCCACACCCAUCAAUGGUUACUAUAAGCCUUGCCUGAAUUCCCAGAACUACUCCCUUGGGACACUUACCGUGGUCUAUCUUGUCUUCAUCUCCCCUACUAUACUGUAAGCUCCUGAAAGGUAAGAAUACUCUUACUCCUUUCUGUAUCUCUCAUAGAGCAUGCAGCAAAGUGCCUUGCACAUGGCAAGGGUUUUCAUAAGCAUGAAUGUCAAACCUAAGGACUUAAAAGAAACCAGCCAAUCAGCAAGAACCUCUUAAAUGGAACAUUAUGAAUGUCUGACUAAUCAAUGCUUGGGCAGCCCAGGAAGUUGAUGCGAUUAAGCAACUCCACCCAUCAUUUCUUGAUCUAGCACCCUACUCUCUCAGAGAUGGGAGGUUCCUGAGGUGGAGACACAGAGACUCUCCACACCACUUUUCUGCAAAGCAAAAAUUAGUUUGGCUUGAGCAGCAGCUUUUUACCAGCGCUCUAGUUACCUAAAACAUUCCUAUGCAACAUCAGAUUUUAAAGAAAAUCCUACUCUCAGCCAUGCACAAACACACAGAGCCACAAUACUGUCACUUUAACUAGAAUAAAAACAAGUUUCAUUUUUUUCACACCAGACUAAUAAAAAGAAAUUAAAAAAAAAACAAAAAAUAAAACUUUCAUGUUACUAAUAACCUCCAGGACAGAACAACCUAGAUAUGCAGGCAUUCAGCUAUGAGUUAGGUAACCUCCCUCCUCAUUUUCAAAGCCCCAAACCCAUCCUUUAAAUACUAAAAUACAUAGACACUAAGUCCCAGCAAGAAACACUGUAAAGUCUCCCCAUGACUCUUUACUAUAUUAAACACAGCUGUCUAAGGUCAUGUUUACAUAUAGAUUUAAAAAAAAAAAAAAGCCAAACCAACAUCAGCAUUAACAAAGUAUAAUAAACAGCAUUAACAAAAUGUAUAAUGUAUAAUAAAUGUAUAAUAAAUUUCCAAACUAGAAAAGAAGAAGACACCAAGAAAUUUUUAAAACUUCCAUCUUUAAGGUAUAUAAAAACAUAAAUUAUGUCCUAUCACAAUGCUUUAAUUACUUCAAUAGAAAACCCUAACUUCCCUGGUUCUAAAUUAGUUAUAAAGCAUGCAGAGUUCACAUCCAGAACCUUUAGGUACUUCAACUGUUAACAAACCAAACCACAAAGGAAAAACUGACACCCAAGAUCAGAUUUAUAAUAGAUGCAAAAGUAUACACAGCAAGCAAAGCCAAACAUGGUAAGAGUUAGAAAUGAUACAAAACUCCCCCCCCACCAAAAUUUCUAGUAAUAAGCUUAUUCCUCUUUCCUACUGCCCAAUCUUAUAUAAAAGAUUAUUAGCACAAAUAAAGUAACAAAUCCUAAUUCACAAACUGCUAGAAUUUGUGACUCAUGGGUCCAACUCUUGAUUUCCAUCCUCGAAGCAGGAACCUACUCCCUAGGCAAGAUGGCCCUGUAGCUAACAAACAUAGCCCACUGGAAAAAGAAAACAAACAUCUUCCCUAAACAUAACAGCACCUGAGCUGUAAGGAAUGUUUUGUAUCUACAAAGCACUUUUACAAACAUCUCACUUGGCCCUCUUUCUGUUCCUCAGCUCAUCUGCAUCUUGGGGCCUUUGUACCAGCUGCUCCUUCUUUCUCCCCAGUCUCUGCAUGCCCACCUAUCCCCUUGUGGCCCUCACGUCACCACAAACUUCAUAUUCCUCAGUGUUUUUGUAGUUCACAGCCUGCAACCACUGUGCUGAAAAAGGAGAUAAAAGCCCAGAAACUGAAACUUGCUCAAGAUCACAGUAGUGAUGUAGUCAUUACUUCAGAGGUCAACAUUUUCUGACACGCUAAAAAUUUUAAACACAUUUUCAGUUAUAAAAGAUUUAAAAUAAAGAGGUUCACCAAGUUCUCCUUAUGAAAACAUUCUACAAUAUGUUUUAUUUCAGGAACUGACAUUCAGUCUCAUCUUGUACUAAACACUUCCCUCCCAGUUUUAAAAAGCACAGUAAAAGGCAAUCUGAGAAAAAGUUUUGUAUCUGAAAAAUCUUCUACAGUGAUUAGCAAAGAACUAAAAAUUAACCAGAGGCAAACCAGAAGCUAAUCUGCAUUACCUGGGAACUUAUGGAGAGGUGAUAGUGCUAGACCCAGGUUCCCAUAUAAAUAGACCCUUUAAAUCAGUCUAUUCAGUGUUGCACAUAACAAUGCCCUCAUGGAGAGUAACAUUCACUAUAAUUCUUACUUCUACUGAGUGGAAUGUUUAGGUGAGAAAAAUAUUAAACACCAAAGCAUAAUCAUAUAGGAUAUUCUUCAGUUCCUGAAUUCGCUGAGAAAAUAAUUAUUUAAUACCUACAGAUAUGCUCCCAUGUGCUUGAAACCCUAAUUUAAUGAGGGCAAAAUGAAAGCCAAACAAUGUGAACAAAGGUUUCAGCAGCAGUUCAAAUGGAGAAAAAGUUGAGAGUGAGUUAUCACAGUCACAUAUCUUUAAAACAUGACAAACACAUAAGAAUCUGCAGAUUGAAUGUCAGCAUUUAUACUGCAUGUAUCAAUUUAGUUUUUCAAGCUUUAUUCAAACUAAC